GGCGGCGGAGUAACCGGUGAAGUGUCAAAGAGGCAGGAGUGGAGGGCUGCGGGGGUGACAGGGUGUGGUCUGCCUGGAGCGGCGACGUGGGAGAGCGGGGCAGAGGCCUGGGGCUGUAGAUGGUGCCUGGGUGUGCGGGUGCGGUGACAGCGCGCAGCUGAGCGGCGACUAGGGUGUCCCGGGCUCGCCAAGUGUCCAGCUCCAAGCUGUGCCAGCGACCUCGCGGGCCCUGAAGCCAGACACCUGCGAGUGAGAAGCAAGAGGUGCUCAGCCUUCCCGGCAAGUGCUGUAAGAAGCGACAACCAUCUGGAGUAAAAGAAACUUGAAAACCAGACACCAUCCCAAGACAUCAAAGAAAGAAACAGCUGGAAUCAACGGAGAGAAAGGCAGUGGGCACCUGGAGGAUCUUCAACCUGAGCAGAUGCCAGUUGACAUGGGAACUCUGAGGCCAGCAAUUUAAGGAUUUUCACAUUUGCCUGCAGUGGUUCUGCCAAGACAGAAUAAUCUCCAAGGUAUGAGACAGUAUACUAUUCCCCACUUCGUUGGCUAAACUCAGAAUGGUAUUUUUUCUGUUUGUGGUGAGUGCGACCCUCAAAUGGUAGCCAGGAGUGGUUAUUGGCUCUGCUGGUGGUGUCGGUGAAUGGAAAAUACUACAAAUAUAAUAUGGCCGGAUCAGACCAGGAAGGAGAGGGGCAAAGAAAGGAAGGGAGGAGGGGAAGAGCGGGAGGCUCUCUUGCUUGAUUAGCCCUUUUAUGAGACAGCAGACUUUUUGUCUCUGAGUUUCAAAGACAGAAGACAGCUUCUUUGUGAGCCAAUGUGGCAGGGCCCCACACCUCCACUGAAGACUAUUUUGGAAGAAUUAAAAAGCAGAAGCCCCUCCUUAUAGCUCUGAGUCCUCGGCUGCAUGAGGUCUCCUAUCCAACUCUGCAGGACCACAUUAGCCAAGCUGUCUAACUUCCAGAAGUCUCCGUAAGAACACGCUAUUGCGGAUGUACUAAUCAUAUUAUGGAACACAAUAGGAGCCCCUCUUGAUUCCCUUAGAGGACCAGGCAUAGAGGAUGUGCACCAUCUGGUUGGUGAAGGCAGGAACCAUUUUUUUUUCAAGAGGGCACCCAUCCAAGUUCUGUUUCAUGCGCAUCAGAAGGAGGAAGGAUAAGCAAGUCUGUUUAUAAUGAGAGCGGUGCUGAAGCUAAUAAGAUGGGGUGUGUUUCCAGUGCGCGACGUCUCUCUGAAGCUACGUGUGUUUGCAGUACAUUUGGCCGCCUUGCUUGUUCAGAGGCUGGGCUUCCAAUUGAAAAAUGUAAAGCUCUCCAUGUGUUAAUUGGAAAAUAGAGGCAUCUUUUGCCGUAGAGCAUCUGGCUUCCUAGGUAUUAAUUACGGCUCUGUCUACACAUAGAGACUAGUAUUUUUAACAUCUCUUAUUCACCAUGUUACUUUUAGAAACUGUUAAGUUUUCAGAUCACAGGGGGAGAAGAGUAAGAUAAACUCUACUAGAUA